GACGUAGGGCGCGAGCGUUUGUCCGGAUUUAUUGGGCGUAAAGAGCUCGUAGGCGGUUUGUCGCGUCGUUCGUGAAAACUCACAGCUUAACUGUGAGCUUGCGGUCGAUACGGGCAGGCUAGAGUUCGGUAGGGGAGACUGGAAUUCCUGGUGUAGCGGUGAAAUGCGCAGAUAUCAGGAGGAACACCGGUGGCGAAGGCGGGUCUCUGGGCCGAUACUGACGCUGAGGAGCGAAAGCGUGGGGAGCGAACAGG
rnacentral:rRNA from 1 species